rnacentral:rRNA from 1 species
AUGCACGCUGGCGGCGUGCCUAAUCCAUGCAAGUCGAGCGAACAGACGAGGAGCUUGCUCCUCUGACGUUAGCGGCGGACGGGUGAGUAACACGUGGAUAACCUACCUAUAAGACUGGGAUAACUUCGGGAAACCGGAGCUAAUACCGGAUAAUAUAUUGAACCGCAUGGUUCAAUAGUGAAAGACGGUUUUGCUGUCACUUAUAGAUGGAUCCGCGCCGCAUUAGCUAGUUGGUAAGGUAACGGCUUACCAAGGCGACGAUGCGUAGCCGACCUGAGAGGGUGAUCGGCCACACUGGAACUGAGACACGGUCCAGACUCCUACGGGAGGCAGCAGUAGGGAAUCUUCCGCAAUGGGCGAAAGCUUGACGGAGCAACGCCGCGUGAGUGAUGAAGGUCUUCGGAUCGUAAAACUCUGUUAUUAGGGAAGAACAAAUGUGUAAGUAACUAUGCACGUCUUGACGGUACCUAAUCAGAAAGCCACGGCUAACUACGUG